UACGUAGGGUGCGAGCGUUAAUCGGAAUUACUGGGCGUAAAGCGUGCGCAGGCGGUUUUGUAAGUCUGAGGUGAAAUCCCCGGGCUUAACCUGGGAAUUGCGUUGGAGACUGCAAGGCUGGAGUCUGGCAGAGGGGGGUAGAAUUCCACGUGUAGCAGUGAAAUGCGUAGAGAUGUGGAGGAACACCGAUGGCGAAGGCAGCCCCCUGGGUCAAGACUGACGCUCAUGCACGAAAGCGUGGGGAGCAAACAGG
rnacentral:rRNA from 1 species